rnacentral:misc_RNA from 1 species
AGCACUGCUGCGAGACUGUCCUGCUGGGACCGGCUGCAUUGAUGCCGGGGCUGGGCCAGCACCGGUUUCUAGCUGCGGGAGAAAUGUUUGGCUGGGUAGCUCGUCGAGGUGGUUCCUGCCUCGCCGAUGGCCCGCCGAAACUGCUGCCCGCCUGGAACCGAGGCGAGUUGGCAUCCCUUGCCCUUGCGGUGCGUGCCUGAAGGCUGGACGGCGUUGCGGCGCUGCCGGGCCUCCCCUGGACUGCUUGCAGUGCCGGGGAUGUGCCUUGCUGGUGGUGCUGAAACGUGCGGUCGCAAUGU